CGCUAGCGGUAUGCUUAACACAUGCAAGUCGUACGGAAAAGCAAUUUUUAGUGGCGAACGGGUGAGUAACGCGUGGGAAUUUGCCUUUAGGAAGAGGAUAACAACUGGAAACAGUUGCUAAAACUCUAUAUGCCGUUCGCGGUGAAAAAAGUAAUUUGCCUAAAGAGAAGCCCGCGUCUGAUUAGCUAGUUGGUGGGGUAAAGGCCUACCAAGGCGACGAUCAGUAGCUGGUCUGAGAGGACGAUCAGCCACACUGGAACUGAGACACGGUCCAGACUCCUACGGGAGGCAGCAGUGAGGAAUUUUCUGCAAUGGGCGAAAGCCUGACAGAGCAAUACCGCGUGAGGGAUGAAGGCCUACGGGUUGUAAACCUCUUUUCUCAAGGAGGAAGAUCUGACGUUACUUGAGGAAUAAGCAUCGGCUAACCCUGUGCCAGCAGCCGCGGUAAUACAGGGGAUGCAAGUGUUAUCCGGAAUUAUUGGGCGUAAAGCGUCUGCAGGUUGAUAUUUAAGUCUUUUGUUAAACCUCCGGGCUCAACCCGGAAUCUGCAAAGGAAACUAUCUAUCUUGAGUAUGGUAGGGGUAAAGGGAAUUUCCAGUGGAGCGGUGAAAUGCGUAGAUAUUGGAAAGAACACCAACAGCGAAGGCACUUUACUGGGCCAGUACUGACACUCAGAGACGAAAGCUAGGGGAGCAAACAGGAUUAGAUACCCUGGUAGUCCACGCCGUAAACGAUGGAUACUAGAUGUUGUGUACCUUAGGGCAGUCCCUUAU
rnacentral:rRNA from 1 species